CGGAACACAGAGGAUUAAGUGACUGAUGAUAUCCCCAUCACUUCCCCCACUGGGUUCCCAGCAUGCCUACAGUCUGCUCCCCAGAGAAGAGGUGUCCACCUCAGAGGGAACCAUCCCAGGAGAAAAGACUCAUUGAGAUAGAGGAAAUCUCUCCAUUUGGAAAUACAUCACAUCACACAGAGAAGGCUUAUCACCUCCACCGCCAUUUGAUGCUACCGUCUGGAGGCCAAGGCUUUGCCGUCUUUAAGGGCAAAUAACCAAAGAUGCUGUUGAGAAAAGUUCCACUGGAUUCAUGCUUCACCUUAUAGAAUGCAAAAAAGGCUUGACUCUGGUAGGAUCCCUGUCAUUUUCAUACCUUGUGAUUUUUGGUGAAAAUACACAUUAACAGGAUGUGUUAUCUCUGGCUUUCCUUUCCUUAAUUCUUUCAACUUCACUCUUGGUGAGGGGGGCUGUUUUAGUGCACAAAUGUGGUCAGCAUUAACAGGAAAUGACCGUGUUCUUAUUUUUCAUAAGUGUUAGGCUCUGAAGAAGAAAGAGUCACUGUACUCUUCUGGCUGGAACUAGGAAGAGAUCAAAGGGCUAGCUGCAGGAUAAGGCCAGGACCCUGGAGGAGGGAAAGAGAGGGGGGCAAGGGAGCCAAGGGAAAGAGACUUCCAGCUGACCCUCCAGAUGUCCUGAGCCAUACAUGCAGCAGCCUACAUCAAAGACAUUACAUAUGUUGUAUUAGUAAUUAUCCUGUCUGUGGGUUCCUAGUAAAGACAUGGGUAUCAUGUGAUACUAAAGUUAUGUGCAUUUCACAAAAACCUAAGAGACAAAGGCUUUGACAGAAACAGGAUACGAUUACAUUUCAAAUGAAGGUAUGAAGAAAUGAUUAUUUGAUGUGAUUUUCUCCAAAUCGUAGAAGUUCCAUGGAAAGUAAUAGGAAAAUUGUCAAGAUUUGUAGAUAGGCUAAAAUGUUCACCCUGGACAUCUUCAAAGUCAUUAGUGCUGCAAUAAAAAAUAUUUCUGCCUAACUAGCUCAAUGUUGUGCUAGGUGUGCACCAAACGAAGUGCACAGCCCUUGCUUUCAUAGCACUAUAUAGAGAUGAGAGAGUCAGAGUCCCCUCUCUUCUAGCUGAAGGAAAGCAUAAUGGCGUGUUUUAGUCUUCUAAAAUUAGUCAGUUGGUUGGUAUGUUGCUUUUGGAAUGAAAGUCUCCAAGGUCUUCUGAAUAAGAGAACAUAAUCUCUCAUUAUGCAAUCUUACAAGUUCCAAGAAAACGUAACACCAAAUUUUAAAAGUUCUGUUUUUAAAAGAGAUAAGACAUUCCAAGUUGGGUUCUAAAUCAUUUCAAGUGGCCAACGCUGGCUACAGAGAAUGGAAAAAUUGGACUUAUUGCACAUGUUUGAAAAUAUGAGUAAGUGGUCUCUGAGAGGAGGAUUGGUUUUGUCACACCUAGUUCAGUUUCCCUGAAAUUAGGACUUGUUUGCUCAUUUCAAGUUUUGUUAGAUAUUCUGGCUCAGUGCAACUAUGGAAUAUCUGAAUUCUGUAAAGGUAAAUUGUUUCUAUACCACUUCAGGUUAAUUAUAUUAGUGUAUAUACUUUCCUAUCACUUUAUUGGAAAUAAAUUUUGACCCUUUAUGUCACAAGAUACCUAAGUGGUAUUGGCAGAAUUCUGAACUGAAUUGAGAUUAUAAUCACUUGGAGAAAUCAGUCAUGCUAAAAGAUACUUCAAGCACGUGUUUUCUGGAGUAGCCUAUGUCCAACAUUUUCAGUAUUUUCAAAAAUUUUUAAGUCUAAAAAAAAAUUUGUAAAUCUAAAACCUGCAGUCAUCCUGCCCCUAAAACAGCUGCUGAUGUUCACACAAUAAUCCACCGCUACCUGUACAAUAGAAUUAUGAUGUAGUUCUUAGAUUAAACCCCCUCUUAUUGGUCUGCAUAGACGUUAAUCACUUUUUUACUUUACGUAUAGAUUAUUGCAUAACUGAACAGGAUGGAAAGAGGGGAGCUCUUGUACGUAUUAGAAGCUUCAUUCGACGGCCAUAAUGGAGAUGCUGCUGGUGACAAUGCUUUCGACAUUCUUCCCCAUGAUACACUGAUGUAGCCAAACUUUAGAAAGUCUCCAACUCUCUGAUGAAUAAAGUCUUUAAACAAAUGAAAAAUAAGAAAGCAUCUGGAAAUGAUAUCAUCCCUGCCAAAUUUUCAUGCUGGAGGAAAAAUGACUCAUGUAAUCUCCCUGUAUUCUCUUCUUGAGAAACAAGAAUAAAAGAGAAAAUGACAUAUGACUCUAGGGAUAUG
rnacentral:lncRNA from 1 species